rnacentral:rRNA from 1 species
GACGAACGCUGGCGGCGAGCUUAACACAUGCAAGUCGAACGGAAAGGCCCUGCUUUUGUGGGGUGCUCGAGUGGCGAACGGGUGAGUAACACGUGAGUAACCUGCCCUUGACUUUGGGAUAACUUCAGGAAACUGGGGCUAAUACCGGUUAGGAGCUCCUGCUGCAUGGUGGGGGUUGGAAAGAUUCGGCGGUUGGGGAUGGACUCGCGGCGUAUCAGCUUGUUGGUGGGGUGGUGGCUUACCAAGGCUUUGACGGGUAGCCGGCCUGAGAGGGUGACAGGCCACAUGGGGACUGAGAUACGGCCCAGACUCCUACGGGAGGCAGCAGUGAGGAAUAUUGCACAAUGGGCGGAAGCCUGAUGCAGCGACGCCGCGUGCGGGAUGACGGCCUUCGGGUUGUAAACCGCUUUCGCCUGUGACGAAGCGUGAGUGACGGUAAUGGGUAAAGAAGCACCGGCUAACUACGUG